AAGCAUUCCCAUAGCUUGUAGACGAGGGGGGUGAAGCCAGAAAAUGGCAGUUUAAGACGAGUGAGAACGUUGCAAUAGGAUGCAGGCUUUCUCUUUCUAUUGUCAAGAGCAAUGUGGCGCCGUCGAAUAGUGUACAUGGUGUAAAUCAUGUGAAAGAGUGCGAAUAUGUACUGUGAUAGUAAGCACGUAAAGCAUAUAUAAAUAUUAGAAAAGUGAAUUGUGAAAAACAUGUCUUCGUGUUGUAUUUGCGGCAUCUACUACGUACCGAAAUUAUAUGGAAUCAUUUUUCAUAAAUAAGAACAUAACCUAAUGCUUCCAAAAAACGUAGAGAAAAGAAAUCGAUGGCUUGCGAUACUUAAAACAAAAAUACGUAAUUUUACACAUACUGCUACGUCAGUAAUAUGCAAUCAACAUUUUGAAAAAGAAUGUUAUUACGUAACGGCCACCGGCAAGUUUAUGAUAAAACCUGAUGCUGUACCAACAAUAUUUAAUUCACCAUUAAAAGCAAACUAUUGGGUUGGCCAAAAACAAAAAACAAUUCCAAAAA